CUGAUCUUAAAAAAUGUGAAGUCUUUAAAUAUAUGUAUGUAUAUACAGAUUUCUGAGGCUCACCAGAACCAGGAAAUCAGACACUCCAGCAGUGAGAAUGAGGAAUCUGCACUUUUAAGCAGCUCUCCAGCCUUCAAUUUCCUAAUAGAUGAGACAGAUGAACCCAAAGAAACUCAGACUUAAGCAGACAGAGCCUGAAAAAAGAAAAUACAUGC